rnacentral:lncRNA from 1 species
UUGUGUUCAAUCAUGAAGUUGCUUUAAUAAUCGUUUGAAUUUUCUUAUCAAUUUUUAUUUUCAGAAUCUUGAAAUGUUGAUUAGACUGACGACUUGUUUCCUCAAAUCUGUAGACGGCUGUGACGGAGAGAGAUGCAGAGCCGCCGCCAAUUCCAGAUCUAUCACUCCAUGAGAGGUGUUUUCAGGCUGCCUCUACCAGAAUCUACAUAUUUCUUCAGCGUAACAAGCACGCCACCGCCACCACCGAAUCUUGAGGGCCGUGACCGCCGAUGACGUAUUCCCCAUUGCAACAGCAGAGUGGGCGACGUAUUAUCCGCAACUGUCUUCCCCCGCUUGCUUCAGCCAUACAAGAAGCUCUACAACCAUCGUUCUGGUCGACCCGUCAUCGCUGCCGCCACUCUCUCGUCCUUGACUGGCAUCUUAGCCGCUGCCGAUGUGACCUUCUUCAUCGACGCUAUGCUAAUCAAAUGUUAGCUUCCGCAGAAAACGAGAAUCAGAUACAACACAGAAGCGCAGCAAGAGAGAGGAGAGAAGUUACAGAAG